rnacentral:rRNA from 1 species
GUGAGGUAACGGCUCACCAAGGCUUCGACGGGUAGCUAGUCUGAGAGGACGAAUAGCCACACUGGAACUGAGACACGGUCCAGACUCCUACGGGAGGCAGCAGUGGGGAAUCUUGCACAAUGGGCGAAAGCCUGAUGCAGCGACGCCGCGUGGGGGAUGAAGGCCCUAGGGACGUAAACCCCUUUCAGGAGGGACGAAAAUGACGGUACCUCCAGAAGAAGCCCCGGCCAACUACGUGCCAGCAGCCGCGGUAAGACGUAGGGGGCGAGCGUUGUCCGGAUUUAUUGGGCGUAAAGAGCUCGUAGGCGGUUCAGUCAGUCGGGUGUGAAAACUUGAGGCUUAACCUCAAGAGGUCACUCGAUACUACUGUGACUAGAGUGCGGUAGGGGAGCGGGGAAUUCCUGGUGUAGCGGUGAAAUGCGCAGAUAUCAGGAGGAACACCAGUGGCGAAGGCGCCGCUCUGGGCCGUAACUGACGCUGAGGAGCGAAAGCAUGGGUAGCAAACAGGAUUAGAUACCCUGGUAGUCCAUGCCGUAAACGUUGGGCACUAGGUGUGGGUCUCAACCAACGAGAUCCGCGCCGUCGCUAACGCAUUAAGUG